UGUGUAGGCGGUUCUUUAAGUUUGGUGUGAAAUCUCCCGGCUCAACCGGGAGGGUGCGCCGAAUACUGAGGGACUAGAGUGUGGGAGAGGAAAGUGGAAUUCCUGGUGUAGCGGUGAAAUGCGUAGAUAUCAGGAGGAACACCGGUGGUGUAGACGGCUUUCUGGACCAUAACUGACGCUGAGACACGAAAGCGUGGGUAGCAAACAGGAUUAGAUACCCUGGUAGUCCACGCCCUAAACGAUGCAUAUUUGGUGUGGGUCAUUCAGUUGAUCCGUGCCGGAGCUAACGCGUUAAAUAUGCCGCCUGGGGAGUACAGUCGCAAGGGCUGAA
rnacentral:rRNA from 1 species